rnacentral:rRNA from 1 species
GACGAACGCUGGCGGCGUGCCUAAUACAUGCAAGUCGAACGCAGUGGGGACGGGUGAGUAACACGUGGGCAACCUCCCCAGCAGAGGGGAUAACACUUGGAAACAGGUGCUAAACCGAUACCGAUGGAUUAACCCGCGGUGCAUUAGCUAGUUGGUGAGGUAACGGGUCACCAAGGCCACGAUGCAUAGCCGAGCCGGGAGGGGGUUCGGCCACAAGUGGACGGGGACACGGCCCCGAAUCCGACGGGAGGACGAUGAAGGGAAUCUUCGGAAAUGGACGGAGGGCUGGCCGAGGAACGCCGCGGGAGUGAAGAAGGUUUUCGGAUCGGAAAGCUAUUUUGUUAGAGAAGCGGUAACUAACCAGAAAGGGACGGCUAACUACGUGCCAGCAGCCGCGGUAAUUC